ACAGCUCAGCAAACCAACAGCCAUCUUGGCCCAACGGAAAGGCUCAAUCCAAGGAGGCAAAGCGGCGAGCGAACUAACUCGCGUCCCAGACUCGCACGCAUCGCUCCAGACUCGAGGCGUCUCCGCGUCUGGCGAUUCCGAGACGAGCGAAACGGCACAGUCUCCGCGUCUGGCGAUUCAGAGGCGUAGCAUCUAGGGCGAGCGGCCGGAGCACCAUCGUCUCCGCGUCUCUGACGAUUGCGAGGCGAGCGGCCGGAGCACCGUCGUCUCCGGCUCUCCGUCUCCGCGUCUCUGCUGCCAGAAGGUCCUCAAUCCGGCGACCAAACUCCUCUCGGUCUCACUCUCAGGCUCUGACGGCCAGAUAACAAGUUCUCACAAUAAUGCUCAAGAGAAAUAUAAUUAUUUCACACAGCCCAAGAAAUCGAUUGAAGUGGUCCUAGCUGGAAACACCAAAGAAUAUAAGGCACUAUAUGUAUCACGUUUGACAUAUUCUCUCAAGUGCUUGAGGUUUCUUUUGCAAUAAGGGUUGGCGUUCCGUGGCCAUGAUGAAAGUGAAGACUCUUUAAAUAGAGGCAACUUUCUUGAGCUCUUGAAUUGGCUAGCAAAUACUUCCAGCGAGGUUGAAUUUGUUUUCUUGGCAUGUCUUGCAAAAAGAUAAGAAUUCUUAGAUUAGCGCAAGCUGAUCGUAUUAUUGAAGCAUUGCAUUUGGGUGAAAUUGAAUCUGGCCAGGGUUUGAAUCAAGAGAUGGGUUUGGCACGGCCUUGUGAUACUCGGUGGAAUUCUCAUUAUAAGACAGUGUCACAUGUUAUGGCCAUGUAUCCUUCAAUCCGUACAGUUCUUAUAAAAAAUGGAAAAGAGUAUAGUGGCACGGAGGCUAUUGCAGCGCAAACUAUGUUAACAUCAUUUGAGUCUUAUGAAUUUGUUUUCAUGGUAAAAUUGAUGUUGGCCAUAUUUGGCAUCACAGAUGACUUGAUUUGCUCCUUGCAAAAGAGGGACCAAGACAUUGUAAAUGCUAUGGGUCUCAUUGGCUACACAGAACAAGAGCUUGAGAACUUGCGACAUGAUAGUGGAUGGAAAGCUUUUCUUGAAGAGGUAAAUUCUUUUUGUGUGAAGCAUAAAGUCAAAGUUGUUGACAUGGAUGCUUUCUAUAAACCGGUUGGAAGAUCUGCAAGGUUCUUAAAAAAUGUCAAAAAUAUGCAUCGGUUCCAUGUGGAUAUGUUCUUGGGCGUCAUUGAUAGAUAAAUCGGAGAGUUUAAGGACAGAUUUGAUGAGGUAACACAGAGUUACUUGUUUGCAUGUCUUCAUUCAAUCCAAUGGGCUCCUUUUAUGCUUAUGACAAGGAAAGGUUGGUUAAACUUGCUCAUUUUUAUCCCAAUGAUUUCUCAAUGAUGGAAUUAGUGCGUCUUCCCUUUCAACUCACAAACUUUAUUGCUGAUAUGCGUGGAGAUGAAAGGUUUAGGGAAGUAAAAAAUAUUGUGGAUCUCUCUGUUAAGCUUGUUGAGACAAAGAAGAACCUGACCUAUAAUAUCGUUUACAAGCUUCUCAAAUUGGUUCUAAUUCUUCCUGUUGCAACCGCAACCGUCGAAAGAGUUUUUUCUUCAAUGAACUAUGUGAAGAAUAAAUUGAGGAACAAGAUGGGAAGCAAAUUCUUAAAUGACUGCUUAGUUACAUAUAUUGAGAAGGAAUUCUUUUUGCAAGUAAAGGAUGAUGCAAUCAUAUCACGUUUCCAAGCUUUGGAGAUCCGCAAAGUGGUGUUAUGAGUAUCUAUUAUUAUGUAAUUUGUCUAGUAUUUUGAGAUGAUGUCGCUCUUAUGGAUAAAUUGUGCACCUUUCUGUUUAGUAUUGAACAAUUUAUCAUGUCAUUUCUCUCCUAUUUUGAGAUGAUGUUGUUAUGAAAAAAUCGUGAACCUUUAUGUUUGUCAAAUUUUUAUGUUUGUACUGCUGUA